CUAUAUUGGCACAAGAAAUCCCGGCUUACAUUCGGAAAACAUCAACCGCAUACAGUCGCUUUAUGGAUCGUGAAGAAACGCAAAUAGCCGAUCGACAGAUGUGUUAAUCAUUGACGAAUUGAAAACGAGGGAUCUUGAUUAUAGUGAUUGUGAGAAAACCAGGUGUUGGGAUAUCAUAGUUCUAAACACAUGGAAUAAAGCUAAUAAAGAUCAAGGUUGAAAUG